rnacentral:lncRNA from 1 species
AGAUGAAAUUUGAAAUAACUGGGUAACUAGAAAGAAAUGCCAAUGCUUCUUUCUUGGAAUGAGGGUUGGCAAGAUAGAAGCUGAUCAAAUAGAUAGGUGUGUUUCAUGAAGGGCUUUUUGCUAUUUUGUCCUUUUCUGGAUAAGUACCGCUGGCUAGAGAGAAUGCAAAACUUUGUGGAACUGUAAUACCUACAGUUGUUCUAAUAGUUCUUAGAAUCCUUUGACCAAAGGGGAAAAGAUGCACUGAAAGUCUGAGAGAAUGCUCAGUGUGGAGCCAGCUUUGCCCAGUGUUGCUGACUACCCAAGCAACGUGUUGAGGAAGGAAGAGCCUGGGUUUGGAGCUACUAGACCUGGGUCUAUGUUCUAAGUCAGUGCCUCUCAUUUCUGUGACUCUGUUUCUUCACCCAUAAAAUCUUCAUCCUCGUAGUGCAUACCUCUGUAGUAAAGAUGAAAUGGGAUAUUGAGGGGGAAAAGCCUUUCAAACUACAAAGUAUUAUGCAAAAUUUAUUCUCAUUUUCUAGCUAUCUACUUUGGAUUUAACUUUAGUACAUUAUAUAUAUAUAUAUAGUCUCUCGUUUGAGGUUUUUUUUUUUUAAUUUCAUAGGAGAAUUUUUUUGGGGGGGCUGUGAUAUGCAGUGGCUUGAUGUAGGAUCUCAGUUCCAAUAUCAAGGAUUGAACCUGGGCUGCAGCAGUGAAAGUGCUGAGUCCUAACCAUUAGACUACCAGGGGACUCCAGAUUAUUGUGUUUCUGUCUUCCUGCUCAGAAACCCGGAUUACUGAACCUUUGAGAGAUCUCCAGAAGCCCCCGAGGCCUCAUAUAAAUUACCAGGCAGCAGAGUGAAGUCUGGUAUGACCCUGAGUCCAUUGAAGGGGUGUUCAGAAAUGCAGGUUCAACGGCGCUAUUUGCAGUCAUUCCACAUGACGAUGCCAGCCUGAAAUCCCCAACCGUGGUCCAAUGGGAUGCUUGCUGAAAUAUAUAGUUAAUAGGAGGAGGAGAUUGGAUUAUAAAUCUUUAGAAGUAAGCCUUAUGAGAUAAUAUCUGAUGCAGGAACCUCAAGGGAAACUAAAUUCUUUAAUCGAUUGAAAACCUGCCUUGCAAAAGCUUUUAAACAUUCAAACACCACCGUAUAAAUCAAGUUAGAAAUAUCCCACCAAGGAAUAAAGGAGUUCCUGCCAUGUAAAAUAUUAAUUUAUCUUUUCAAGGCAGAACAAACACUUCAUUUAGAAGAACGUUGGCUAGGCAGUGGCGGAAAAAGCAGAAAAUGUAGAAUAAACUCAUUGUGUUGACCUUGGAUGCCCACUUAAAUGUCUUGGGUCUUUGGGCUUUUUCUGUUGCUGAAAAACUAAGGUCUUUUAAUGCUAAAACAUGGUUCCAGCAUAUUUUACUGGAAGUUGUUCUGUGUUUGAUCCCAUAUUCCAGGGCAAUUAUUCCCAACUAUGUAUUAGAAAAUGAUCUGCAAUUCAGCAGUUGACUUCAGCCUGGAAUUUGUGCUCCUGGAAUGGUAAAGGAGAGUAACAUUGGAUUUUAAAAUACCAUUGCUCUGUAAAAACAACUAUGAAUGAAGCAUAAAAGGGCAAAUAUCUACCACAUGGCCAUUCCUUCAUUUGCUACAAUAUACAUGCAUCAGGGGUAACACUAAAGCCAGCCUGGAAGACUCCCAGAAAGGAAACUAUAUGAUUAGCCAAGUUGAAACCUGAUUUGCAUCUAAAAAAUGUAGGGUAUGCUCGUUUAUGUGCAAAUGUAAUGGAAAAAGGCUGUAGGUAAAGUAGCUAAAGCCUAAACAAAAUAAACACUUAAUUUUCUUUUAUUGUAUCCUGUGACUAUUAAUAAUAUUAUGGUACCAAGUCAGAAACAUUAAGCCAAGCAGGGGAGCAAUAAAUGUCUCUAGACUGUUGAUAUUAGCAACUAAUCGCUCCAGAGUUCACAUAAAAUGUGGAUGGAAGUACAAAGAAGAUAGUUGAUGAAGUCAGCAAUGGCAGGAACUCUUCACAGGUGAAAGCAAUAACUAGAGGGCUCGCAGGACAGGGGCAGGGCCUGGAGAGGCAAUCAGAGAUCAAGCAAGGCCUUGGAAAAUCAUUGCUUUUUAAACGUGUCGGUACCUAUUGACAUGUGGAUAUUCUUAGGCUUGUAAAGUUCUUGAUCUUAAUCUCAGCUGACAAUACUGUUUGGGAAUUUGCAGAACUCUAUCUAUUUCAUUUUAUAAUGGUCAUGACUCACUGAUACAGGCAAGGUGGCUUAGGGUUUUUCUCAUCUUAAAGAGGAAGAAAUCAGCGUUGUGAGUAUGGUCAGAGGACAGGUAAGACUCAGGAGUAAAACUCUAGUCUUGUGAUUCCAGCUCUCAUGUUCUUUGAAUGAUCUUCCUUAAAUCAUUAUAUAUAUAGAGAGAUAAAUAUAUAGAGAGAUAUAACACAUAUAUAUGUGUGUAUAAUAAUAUAUAUUAAAAUAUAUACACAUUUAAUAUAUAAUGUAUGUAUGUUUGUGUAUAUAUAUACUUAAACAUUCAUAUAUGUGUGUGUGCAUAUGUAUGCAUGUAUAUAUGUCAUGUAAAAUGGUAUUUGGGGCUUUCAUCUCUAAUGGUAUGUUAGACACAGACAACUCCAAUCGUCCCAGCAAGAAAAUCAAAAUUCUGGUUAGAGUGUAAAACAGACAAAGCUAAUAAUUUAAAAAUGGAUUACACAGCUGGUACAAAAGCCAGGAUUUUAUAGAGGCCAACAUUUAAAUAACAACACAGAUUUAGGAGAGAAGAAUAUACCUCUGGGUGUCUGCGGAUCCAUGAGCUUCCACUCUGCUGACUUCACUGUGUGACAUGACCUGCAGAGAAAGCUCAGGGAACUCAAGGUGAGACCCCCAAGGACUGUGAUCUCAGAGUGAUCAGUGCUAGAAGUAGGUACACAGCCCCCAGCAGGGAUGCUAGCAGGACUUAAACCAUUUAAUUAAACAUUGUUUAGGAUCGGUGGGCAAAAGCAAAUAUUCCUUCCCUGGAAGAAUGCAACUUCGACCUCGGCCUCCAAACAUACCCACAAAAAAUAUCCUGUAGAACGUAAAUUCACAGUCAAAAAUCACAAAACACAAAGGGAGAUGUGGCAUGAUAAAGGAAAACCAGAAAAUAGCAGACCUCUGGAGAUUUUGUUGCCAGAUAUAUUAGGCACAUAAUAUUAAAUCUUUAUGUUUCAGGUUGUGGUUGAGAUGGCUAGUUAUUCAUAAAAUUAAUUUUUACCAGUUGCAUAGGAAUAGAAGUGUAGCAUCAUGACUGCUUAGUUGGACUACAUUUCCCCGGUUUCCUUUGCAAUCAGAUGUGCACUAUAGCAACUAGUUUCUCACAGAUAGAAUGUGCAUGGCAGUGAUACAUGUCACUGUCCCCUCUUGCCCUUUCACACUUGGCUGGAGCCCAGAUGAGCCAAAACCCAGUUUUCACUGUUCACAUGUUGACAGCAUCCUCAGGGAUGGAGGACCAAUGGCUUGGAUGGGACCUGGCUCUCUGAAUGGGCAACAGAAAGACCUGGGUCAUUCACACUGAAACCAGGUGACAGAAACCUCUGAGUUCUUUGUCUCAGUAUCAUAUUGCCAAACCUCUAGCUUUAAGCUUAAUAACGCAUAUCUGCUAAAAACAAAAUAGUAGACAAGCUUGAACAUACAAGGCAAACCAAAACUACCAAAUAAAUAAAUAAAAGAUCAAGGAGAGAUAUUUGAAAAGGAAUGAAAUACAACUUU